GGUGGUCAAAGGAACAUGAUAUGAUUAUCAAAACUGAAAUGCGCAAGGAGGAUAUAUCUAAAAUUGUCGAACAAUCCGAUGUUGUGCUUAGGGAAGGCUGCGACAUGUUAUUUAAAAAUCUAGCGGACAACAGUGUACCAUUGGUUGUGUGUACCGCCGGCAUUGAAGACAUUUCGAGUGCAGUGAUUACAGAUCGAGCUACUCUGUAUGACAAUAUAUCUUUUAUGGGCAACAAAAUGGACUUCGAUGCAAAUG
rnacentral:lncRNA from 1 species